CUUCACCACAGGUCCCUUUUCCUGGAGAAGAGUCUAUACCUCUGAGGUUUGUGUGUUUGCAGGGGAACAGCACCUGCAGGGGGGUCUGUGGCCAGAAGCUGGAUCCACCUGCAAUUCAGUGGAUGCUUUGAGAAAAUCCACAAGGAGUCCUGGAGCUGGACGGUCUCAGUUGAAGAUGCAAAUGAGGAGCUGGAGGAGCCCCUUGUCCUUUCAUCAUUUGCAUUUAAUGGAAGCAAAUCAACGUUGAUCGAGCCCUUCUGUGUGCCAGACACUUCGACGUGUGUGAUUUUGUUUAUUCUCAAAACUAUCUGGUACCCGAGGCCGGAGUGUUCCUGUUCUACAGGUAAGGAAACUGAGGCUUGUGGAAGUUGAAUAAUUUGCUCCUGAUCAAAUAAUUGGUCAAAGGCUGAGCCAGGUUUAGAAUCCAGGAUUCUCUGGGUACAAAUGCCACGCCCUUUAUUCAAUUAAACCCUGGGCAA
rnacentral:lncRNA from 1 species